UCGUGGACCGUUGACCGGCGCCGAUUAUAUAUGGCCUGCAUGCUGGCCUGCGCGCGAGAAGCACCAAAAUGCUGCUGUUUCUGCGCUGCUUGAGGACACUUUUAUCUUCUCUUCAUCACGUUGUCCGUGUGCCAGUACGCGUCGAUCGUGCAUCUAGCUGUACGCAUACGCCGUCGGCAGGGCUGCGCUACCCUCUCACGGCACAAAGUUCUAGCAGCAACGGGCACGUACGUACGUGCCACCACACACACACACACAUGUGGUCGCGAUCGUACACGUCGAUGAUGCACGACGCAUAUAUAUCUCACACCGUCCAUGGGAGGGAGGACGUACGAUAAGAUUAAGAUAGAUGUGUGCAACAUGUUUAUCUUCAUUCAGGUUGGUGACCAGGGGAUGGACGCACACAUCAGACAGUGCUUUACCCACAAAUUACAUAAGCUUUUUGAUGAUCAUUAUUAUGGAAAAAAGGCUAGUAGUAGUAG
rnacentral:lncRNA from 1 species